rnacentral:rRNA from 1 species
GACGAACGCGUGGCGGCGUGCUUAACACAUGCAAGUCGAACGGAAAGGCCGUCCAGCUUGCUGGGGGUACUCGAGUGGCGAACGGGUGAGUAACACGUGGGUGAUCUGCCCUGCACUUCGGGAUAAGCCUGGGAAACUGGGCCUAAUACCGGAUAUUCUGCUUCUGCCGCAUGGUGGGGGUUGGAAAGAUUUUUUUUGGAUGGGGAUGGGCUCACGGCCUAUCAGCUUGUUGGUGGGGUGAUGGCCUACCAAGGCGUCGACGGGUAGCCGGCCUGAGAGGGUGACCGGCCACAUUGGGACUGAGAUACGGCCCAG